rnacentral:sRNA from 1 species
GGGAAGCACCAUGCAGUUUGUAUCCUGGGCCACACUGCUAACGCUCCUGGUGCGGGACCUGGCCGAGAUGGGGAGCCCAGACGCCGCGGCGGCCGUGCGCAAGGACAGGCUGCACCCGAGGCAAGUGAAAUUAUUAGAGACCCUGAGCGAAUACGAAAUCGUGUCUCCCAUCCGAGUGAACGCUCUCGGAGAACCCUUUCCCACGAACGCCCACUUCAAAAGAACGCGACGGAGCAUUAACUCUGCCACUGACCCCUGGCCUGCCUUCGCCUCCUCCUCUUCCUCCUCUACCUCCUCCCAGGCGCAUUACCGCCUCUCCGCCUUCGGCCAGCAGUUUCUAUUUAAUCUCACCGCCAAUGCCGGAUUUAUCGCUCCACUGUUCACUGUCACCCUCCUCGGGACGCCCGGGGUGAAUCAGACCAAGUUUUAUUCCGAAGAGGAAGCGGAACUCAAGCACUGUUUCUACAAAGGCUAUGUCAAUACUAACUCCGAGCACACGGCCGUCAUCAGCCUCUGCUCAGGAAUGCUGGGCACAUUCCGGUCUCAUGAUGGGGAUUAUUUUAUUGAACCACUACAGUCCAUGGAUGAACAAGAAGAUGAAGAGGAACAAAACAAACCCCACAUCAUUUAUAGGCGCAGCGCCCCCCAGAGAGAGCCCUCAACAGGAAGGCAUGCAUGUGACACCUCAGAACACAAAAAUAGGCACCGUAAAGACAAGAAGAAAACCAGAGCAAGAAAAUGGGGAGAAAGGAUUAACCUGGCUGAUGACAUGGCAGCAUUAAACAGCGGCUUAGCAACAGAGGCAUUUUCUGCUUAUGGUAAUAAGACGGACAACACAAGAGAAAAGAGGACCCACAGAAGGACAAAACGUUUUUUAUCCUAUCCACGGUUUGUAGAAGUCUUGGUGGUGGCAGACAACAGAAUGGUUUCAUACCAUGGAGAAAACCUUCAACACUAUAUUUUAACUUUAAUGUCAAUUGUAGCCUCUAUCUAUAAAGACCCAAGUAUUGGAAAUUUAAUUAAUAUUGUUAUUGUGAACUUAAUUGUGAUUCAUAAUGAACAGGAUGGGCCUUCCAUAUCUUUUAAUGCUCAGACAACAUUAAAAAACUUUUGCCAGUGGCAGCAUUCGAAGAACAGUCCAGGUGGAAUCCAUCAUGAUACUGCUGUUCUCUUAACAAGACAGGAUAUCUGCAGAGCUCACGACAAAUGUGAUACCUUAGGCCUGGCUGAACUGGGAACCAUUUGUGAUCCCUACAGAAGCUGUUCUAUUAGUGAAGAUAGUGGAUUGAGUACAGCUUUUACGAUCGCCCAUGAGCUGGGCCACGUGUUUAACAUGCCUCAUGAUGACAACAACAAAUGUAAAGAAGAAGGAGUUAAGAGUCCCCAGCAUGUCAUGGCUCCAACACUGAACUUCUACACCAACCCCUGGAUGUGGUCAAAGUGUAGUCGAAAAUAUAUCACUGAGUUUUUAGACACUGGUUAUGGCGAGUGUUUGCUUAACGAACCUGAAUCCAGACCCUACCCUUUGCCUGUCCAACUGCCAGGCAUCCUUUACAACGUGAAUAAACAAUGUGAAUUGAUUUUUGGACCAGGUUCUCAGGUGUGCCCAUAUAUGAUGCAGUGUAGACGGCUCUGGUGCAAUAACGUCAACGGAGUACACAAAGGCUGCCGGACUCAGCACACACCCUGGGCCGAUGGGACGGAGUGCGAGCCUGGAAAGCACUGCAAGUAUGGAUUUUGUGUUCCCAAAGAAAUGGAUGUCCCUGUGACAGAUGGAUCCUGGGGAAGUUGGAGUCCCUUUGGAACCUGCUCCAGAACAUGUGGAGGAGGCAUCAAAACAGCCAUUCGAGAGUGCAACAGACCAGAACCAAAAAAUGGUGGAAAAUACUGUGUAGGACGUAGAAUGAAAUUUAAGUCCUGCAACACGGAGCCAUGUCUCAAGCAGAAGCGAGACUUCCGAGAUGAACAGUGUGCUCACUUUGACGGGAAGCAUUUUAACAUCAAUGGUCUGCUUCCCAAUGUGCGCUGGGUCCCUAAAUACAGUGGAAUUCUGAUGAAGGACCGGUGCAAGUUGUUCUGCAGAGUGGCAGGGAACACAGCCUACUAUCAGCUUCGAGACAGAGUGAUAGAUGGAACUCCUUGUGGCCAGGACACAAAUGAUAUCUGUGUCCAGGGCCUUUGCCGGCAAGCUGGAUGCGAUCAUGUUUUAAACUCAAAAGCCCGGAGAGAUAAAUGUGGGGUUUGUGGUGGCGAUAAUUCUUCAUGCAAAACAGUGGCAGGAACAUUUAAUACAGUACAUUAUGGUUACAAUACUGUGGUCCGAAUUCCAGCUGGUGCUACCAAUAUUGAUGUGCGGCAGCACAGUUUCUCAGGGGAAACAGAUGAUGACAACUACUUAGCUUUAUCAAGCAGUAAAGGUGAAUUCUUGCUAAAUGGAAACUUUGUUGUCACAAUGGCCAAAAGGGAAAUUCGCAUUGGGAAUGCUGUGGUAGAGUACAGUGGGUCCGAGACUGCCGUAGAAAGAAUUAACUCAACAGAUCGCAUUGAGCAAGAACUUUUGCUUCAGGUUUUGUCGGUGGGAAAGUUAUACAACCCCGACGUACGCUAUUCUUUCAAUAUUCCAAUUGAAGAUAAACCUCAGCAGUUUUACUGGAACAGUCAUGGGCCGUGGCAAGCAUGCAGUAAACCCUGCCAAGGGGAACGGAAACGAAAACUUGUUUGCACCAGGGAAUCUGAUCAGCUUACUGUUUCUGAUCAAAGAUGCGAUCGGCUGCCCCAGCCUGGACCCAUUACUGAACCCUGCGGCACAGACUGUGACCUGAGGUGGCAUGUUGCCAGCAGGAGUGAAUGUAGUGCCCAGUGUGGCUUGGGUUACCGCACAUUGGACAUCUACUGUGCCAAAUAUAGCAGGCUGGAUGGGAAGACCGAGAAGGUUGAUGACGGUUUUUGCAGCAGUCAUCCCAAACCAAGCAACCGUGAAAAAUGCUCAGGGGAAUGUAACACGGGUGGCUGGCGCUAUUCUGCCUGGACUGAAUGUUCUAAAAGCUGUGAUGGUGGGACCCAGAGAAGAAGGGCUAUUUGUGUCAAUAACCGAAAUGAUGUACUGGAUGACAGCAAAUGCACACAUCAAGAGAAAGUUACCAUUCAGAGGUGCAAUGAGUUCCCUUGUCCACGGUGGAAAUCUGGAGACUGGUCAGAGGUAAGAUGGGAGGGCUGUUAUUUCCCCUAGGUCAUCUGUUAUAUUCUAGUUCUGGUGCUGUCUAUUUAAGGCAAACCCUUGUGCACCUUUCUCCCACCUCUCCCUUUCUCCCUUGUCUCCCUUGAGAAAACAACUCCAGUUCUCUGCCUGCACCAUGACUGUCGUACUGGAUGUAACUAGUCUACCAGUGACCUCAGAGGUGCUUUGGGCUUGGCUGGAUCACUCACUGUUGUAGCUUCUGUUGUGAUUUUGAAGUUCCAUUCCAUCACCUUCCCUCCUCUUUGAGCCCUAGCUAAGUCACUGAAAGGAAAUCAUGGAUUUAUUAAUCAUAAAGCUAUACUAGCUCACAUCUGAAGUCAACAUGAAGUUUCCUACUUCCUUGACUUUGAAAUAAGAGAAUUAGACCCCAGGGAGUGACCUCUCUGACUUACCCAUCCAACUGCAAGAAAAAAAAAAUAAAA